AAGCCUGACUCAGCGACGCCGCGUGAGCGAUGAAGGCCUUCGGGUCGUAAAGAUCUUUCAGCGGGGAAGAUUAUGAAGGUACCCGCAGAAGCAGGACCGGCUAACUACGUGCCAGCAGCCGCGGUAAUACCUAGGCUCCAAGCGUUGUUCGGAAUUACUGGGCGUAAAGCGAGUGUAGGCGGCUUGCCAAGUCGAUUGUGAAAUCUCCCGGCUCAACCGGGAGGGUGCGGUCGAUACUGGCAAGCUAGAGUACGGUAAAAGAAGGGAGAAUUCCUGGUGGAGCGGUGGAAUGCGUAU
rnacentral:rRNA from 1 species